CUUUAUGGCGGAAUGUGCGUGGGGCACCUUCGGGUGCGCCGGGUGCUGACUUCCCGGUUGACCACCCUGCGUACCUUCCGCCACCCAC
rnacentral:antisense_RNA from 1 species